UCGACCCUCCAGUUACUCUUGAAUAUUGCCCCUUACCUUAAAUCUAUGUCCCCUGGUUCUUGAUUUCCCCUACUUUGGGUAAAAGGUUGUGCAUUCAUCCUCAUGAUUUUGUACACCUUGUCUUGUAUUCCAUCUGGCAUUUCUUUAUCAAUUUAUUGGUUCUCCUUUGAGUUCUAAAUGCUCCCAUUCUUCAGGUUAAAAACUAUAUCUGACAACUUAUGUGCUUGUUAACACUCCCUUUAAUUCCUCAUGCCAGCCAUGAAUAAUUCACUGUGUUUUGUUUGUUUUUGUGCAUUCAAAUACUUUUCUUUAUUGUUCUUGAUGUCAGAUCAAAGGGAAGAUUAAUUGGCCGAAAAGGCAACCAAAAAUAGUGCCCUUUGAAGAAGCCCUCAUAAUUGAUGAACCAGGGGAAGCAAUUCCACACAUUGUUCAAGAAGAUAUCGAUCAGAAUGCUUGCCAGCAAUUGCCAACAUUGCUGGCAAGCGCGAGAGUAACCAAUGACACCUGGGUUACAUUUGUGUUAGUCUGGAAGUGAUCCGUUCAAUCAUUUGCAGGUAUUCCUCUGAGGAAGAUAUGCAA